GGGGGGGGGGGGGGGGGGGGGGGGGGGUGGUCAUUAUCAAAAAUUGCCACUUCCAUAUAGUAUUCACAUUUACCCCCCUCCCCCCCCCCUCAUCCCCUACAUCUGGGAA